GUUUCUACGGUGUGAACUCGCACAUUAGAUUUUCAUUCUAAAGGUAUAAAGCACAUUUAUUAGAAAUA
rnacentral:tRNA from 1 species